AUGGCGGCCGCCCGCGGCGCGCGGGGUUCUGGGAGUCGUAGUCCGCGCGGCGGCGGCCCGGCUCGCUCUCCAGCCGAGGCGCCGCCAUGACGGAGCGGCCCUGGCCGGAGCGGAGCCCGCGCGCGGUGAGUCCGCCGCGGCCCGUCCGGCCGUCCCGCCGCCUGUCCCUCGUCCGUCAGUGCGCCCGCCGGGCUGGCCGGCCGCGGGAAGGGGCCGCGGGGCGGGCCGAGGGCGUCGGAGUCGGCGGGCGCUGGCCGGGAUCGCGUUAGAGGAAGCGCGGGUGGAGACGAGUCCGGGCUCGGGCGGGAGGCGCAGCCCGAGGCCGGCGGCGGGGCCGAGCCGGGUCAGGGAAGCCGUCGCGGGGCCGCGAGGUCUCCGGGGAUGAGGGAGACGGGCGAGCCUCGCGGGCCACGCGCGGGGGCUGAGGUGGAGGUGGGCAGGGGGCCGGGGCGCGCCGUUCCGCCCAGCCCCGGCCCGGGUGGCAUCUCCCCCCCCAUCAGCCGGGGCAGAAAGCCCCUCCACCCUCGUUUGUGCACUCCAGACCCCUCUCGGCCCAGCCCAGGCCCUCCCUCCCCCCACCAGCCAGCAGCCCAGAACCUGACCGUGUGUCAGCGGCAGAUCUCGGUGCCCCGCGCAGGUCCCCCACCAACUCAGCUUCUCCCUGCGUAGACUUCAUCCCAGGACCCUGGAGGGUGCAGAGGGGCUGCGGUUCUUCACCCUGGAGAAUCUGCCUGGGGCGCACUUCCCUGCUCACCGGAGAGAAGGGGGUGACGGAGCUUGUAAACGCCCAGUCAGGCUGCCGGCGGCAAGAAGCAGGCUCGAAGACUGCGGGCAGGGCACAGCCCUCGUGAGUCGCCCUCCCUGCGUCUGUACACCUCCCUUCCUGAUUGUAAAACCCACACACGUGCACAUGAGAAGUUCUCCAGAGGAUCAAGAAGGAAAAAGUCACACGGAAUACUCGUCCACUUUUCACUUGUCAUAAGCAUUUCCCAUGUCAUUAAAAAUCCUU